UACGGGGGGGGCAAGCGUUGUUCGGAAUUACUGGGCGUAAAGGGCUCGUAGGCGGCCAACUAAGUCAGACGUGAAAUCCCUCGGCUUAACCGGGGAACUGCAUCUGAUACUGGUUGGCUUGAGUGUGGGAGAGGGAUGCGGAAUUCCAGGUGUAGCGGUGAAAUGCGUAGAUAUCUGGAGGAACACCGGUGGCGAAGGCGGCAUCCUGGACCAUUACUGACGCUGAGACGCGAAAGCCAGGGGAGCGAACGGG
rnacentral:rRNA from 1 species